rnacentral:sRNA from 1 species
GCCAGGCACAAGGGCUUAUGCCUGUAAUCCCAGCACUCUGGGAGGCUGAGGUGGGGGGAUCACUUGAGGUCAGGAGUUUGAGACCAGCAUGGCCAACAUGGUGAAACCCCAUCUUAACAAAAAUUAGCCGGGCAUGGUGGUGGAUGCCUGUAAUCCCAGCUACUUGGGAGGCUGAGGCGGGAGAAAUGCUUGAACCCUGGAGGUGGAGGCUGCAGUGAGCCAAGAUGGUGCCACUGCACUCCAGCCUGAGCAACACAGUGAAACUCCAUCUCA